rnacentral:rRNA from 1 species
AUUGAACGCUGGCGGCAUGCCUUACACAUGCAAGUCGAACGGUACAGGUCUUCGGAUGCUGACGAGUGGCGAACGGGUGAGUAAUACAUCGGAACGUGCCUAGUAGUGGGGGAUAACUACUCGAAAGAGUGGCUAAUACCGCAUGAGAUCUACGGAUGAAAGCAGGGGAUCGCAAGACCUUGUGCUACUAGAGCGGCCGAUGGCAGAUUAGGUAGUUGGUGGGAUAAAAGCUUACCAAGCCGACGACCUGUAGCUGGUCUGAGAGGACGAUCAGCCACACUGGGACUGAGCAACGGCCCAGACUCCUACGGGAGGCAGCAGUGGGGAAUUUGGGACAAUGGGCGAAAGCCUGAUCCAGCAAUGCCGCGUGCAGGAUGAAGGCCUUCGGGUUGUAAACUGCUUUUGUACGGAACGAAAAGCCCCGGGUUAAUACCCUGGGGUCAUGACGGUACCGUAAGAAUAAGCACCGGCUAACUACGUGCCAGCCGCCGCCGUAA